UCAGCAAAGUUUGAAAUGAUUUGUUCAAGCCCUUCACCUGUUAAUACAAUUUCAGGUUUGUGCAUCAAAACCCAAUAUCUACUGUCCACUACUAUCAAAAGGUGAGUGUGCAACUAACGUAGACAUCUGUACAAUGAUUGAUAAAUAGUGUUUACGCAACUAAAACAGUUAAUGUUGCAUGAAUAUUUUCAGAUUUCUGCAAUACGCUACAUGUGAAACUUCCUCCUUAUGCUUUAUUUGAUUCUCCACUCCAUGAACUGUUUUUAUGAAGCAGCACAAAACCAAUAAAAAGGUAAAUUUUGUUGCAUGAUGUCUGCAAAUCUUGAAUUGACACAUUUCUUCAAGCACUGCUUCACCUAAUAGCAAUACAUUUUCAGGUUUGUGCAUUAAAACUCAAUCUCUACUGUCCACUACUCGCAAAAGAUUUCUGCAAAACGCUACACUUCAAACUUCCUUCUCCAUUAUAUGAUUCUCCACUCCAUGAACUUUCUAUGAAGCAGCACAAAACCGAUUAAAAAGGUAAAUUCCAUUGCACGAUGUCUGCAAAUCUUGAAUUGACACAUUUCAAGCAUUGCUUCACCUAAUGGCAAUAAAUUUUCAGGUUUGUGCAUCAAAACUCAAUAUCUACUGUCCACUACUCCCAGAAGGUUUCUGCAAUGCGCUACACUUCAAACUUCCUUCUCCAUUAUGAUUCUCCAGUCCAUGAACUGUUUUUAUGAAGCACACAACCGAUAAAAAUAAAAGGUAGAAUAUAAUAUCCUUUGUGC
ensembl:lncRNA